AUGCAGCGGCACCUAAUGGUGACAGUUGUUAAAGCGGGGGAUCGCAAGACCUCGCGUCUGAAGAGGAGCCUGCGGCGGAUUAGCUAGUUGGUAGGGUAACGGCUUACCAAGGCGAUGAUCCGUAGCCGGCCUGAGAGGGCGGUCGGCCACACUGACACUGACAUACGGGUCAGACUCCUACGGGAGGCAGCAGUCGGGAAUUUUGGGCAAUGGGCGAAAGCCUGACCCAGCAACGCCGCGUGAAGGAUGAAAUCCCUCGGGAUGUAAACUUCGCAAGAACAGGAAGAAUAAGCCGGUGUGAACACCACCGGCGAUGACGGUACUGUUUGUAAGCUCCGGCUAACUCCGUGCCAGCAGCCGCGGUAAUACGGGGGGAGCAAGCGUUGUUCGGAUUUACUGGGCGUAAAGGGCGCGUAGGCGGCCACCGCAAGUCGACUGUGAAAUCUCCGGGCUUAACCCGGAACGGUCAGCCGAUACUGCGGGGCUAGAGUGCAGAAGGGGCAACUGGAAUUCUCGGUGUAGCGGUGAAAUGCGUAGAUAUCGAGAGGAACACCUGCGGCGAAGGCGGGUUGCUGGGCUGACACUGACGCUGAGGCGCG
rnacentral:rRNA from 1 species